GAUGAGCACUGGGUAAUGAAAUUGUUGAAUCACUAUAUUGUGCACCUGAAACAACGAUAUCACUAUAUAUUAACUACACUCUAAUUAAAA